rnacentral:tRNA from 1 species
GCCUACUUAGCUCAAUAGGUAGAGCAACUGACUUGUAAUCAGUAGGUCGCCUGUUCGAUUCCUGCAGUCGGCACCA